GGCAUGGUAUAAUGGUUGAAUGUUGGACUAUGACUCUGAAGACCAGGGUUCAAUUCCCAGCUUGGCCA